rnacentral:rRNA from 1 species
CCUACGGGAGGCAGCAGUCGAGAAUAUUCGACAAUGGGCGAAAGCCUGAUCGAGCGACACCGCGUGCAGGAAGAAGGCCUUCGGGUUGUAAACUGCGGUAGUAAAAUAACAAUUAUUGAGUGUUUUACGGAAAGAGGUUGGUAACUACGUGCCAGCACCCGCGGUAAUACGUAGACCUCGAGCGUUAUCCGGAUUUAUUGGGCGUAAAGAGUAUGUAGGGGGUUCAGUGCGUCUUUAGUUAAAGCCCACCGCCUAACGGUGGAAGUGCUAGAGAUACGAUUGGACUAGAGGAGGUUAGAGGUGUGCAGAACGCAUGGUGUAGGGGUGAAAUCCGUUGAUAUCAUGGGGAACACCAAAGGCGAAGGCAGCACACUGGGACUUUCCUGACCCUGAGAUACGAAAGCGUGGGGAGCAAAAAGGAUUAGAUACCCUAGUAGUC